rnacentral:rRNA from 1 species
CGGGAAAAGCUCAAAUUUAAAAUCUGGCAGCUUUGGCUGUCCGAGUUGUAGUCUGGAGAAGCGUUUUCCGCGCUGGACCGUGUACAAGUCUCUUGGAACAGAGCGUCAUAGAGGGUGAGAAUCCCGUCUUUGACACGGACUACCAGUGCUUUGUGAUGCGCUCUC